GACGAACGCUGGCGGCGUGCCUAAUACAUGCAAGUCGAACGCAUUUUCUUUCACCGUGGCUUGCUACACCGAAAGAAAAUGGGUGGCGUACGGCGGAGGUACACGUGGGUAACCUCCCCAUUAGCGGGGGAUAACACUGGGUAACAGGUGCUACUACAGCAUAAUUCCAUUUACCGUAUGGUAGAUAGAUGACAGGCGUUGUUGCGUCUCUGAUGGUAGGACCCGCGGUGGAUUUGCUAGUCGGUGGGGUGAGGGCAUACCAAGGCUGCGAUGCAUGGCGGACCUGCGAGGGUGAUCGGCCACCCUGGGACUGUGACACGGCCCAGUCUGCUACGGGAGGCAGCCGUAGGGAAUCGUCAGCAAUGGACGCAAGUCUGACCGAGCAACGCCGCGUGAGUGAAGAAGGUUGUCGGGUCGUAAAACUCUGUUGUUAGAGAAGAACAAGGAUGAGAGUGGAAAGUUCAUCCCUUGACGGUACCUAACCAGAAAGCCACGGCUAACUACGUG
rnacentral:rRNA from 1 species